AUUUUCUGUCACUACCAUUGGCGAAUGCGUUGAAUGGUGUAAUUUGGGAUAAGAAUUCAAAUGAUUUUGUUAAGAUAUUUAGCAUUGAAUCAUACAAAAUAAUGCAAAUAGAACGUUUGCAAAUAAGCUGGGAAUUGGAGAAACAUAACUUUGGUGGCAAGAUAUUUAAGUUCUCUUCGUUUCCGAAAUCUACUAAAUUUUGAAAAUAAUUUCACCGAGAUAAGCGGAGUCCACGGUGACAUGUGGAACAUUCUUGCAGGCAUGCUUAAUUUCAAGCUGAAGGUUGAAAAGAUACGUGAAGACGAAUAUGGUACUAGAUCCAAGAAUGGUUCAUGGAGUGGUCUGUUGGGAUACAUUUGGCGAAAUGAAACUGAUAUUAUUCCCCGAAGUGUGGCUUACCCGUCUCGAUUAACAGCGUUACAAUUUACGAUGGCCAUUUGGAGAACACAUUACAGAUUCUAUAUGAGAAAAA
rnacentral:misc_RNA from 1 species